UACGUAGGGUGCAAGCGUUAUCCGGAAUUACUGGGCGUAAAGAGCUCGUAGGUGGUUUGUCGCGUUGUUCGUGAAAACUCACAGCUUAACUGUGGGCGUGCGGGCGAUACGGGCAGACUUGAGUACUGCAGGGGAGACUGGAAUUCCUGGUGUAGCGGUGGAAUGCGCAGAUAUCAGGAGGAACACCGGUGGCGAAGGCGGGUCUCUGGGCAGUAACUGACGCUGAGGGGCGAAAGCGUGGGGAGCGAACAGG
rnacentral:rRNA from 1 species